CAACGUAAAGAACCUGCCUCAUAGACUGGGACAACUAUUGGAAACGAUAGCUAAUACCGGAUAACAGCAUUAACUGCAUGGUUGAUGUUUAAAAGUUGGUUUUGCUAACACUAUGAGAUGGCUUUGCGGUGCAUUAGCUAGUUGGUGGGGUAAAGGCCUACCAAGGCGACGAUGCAUAGCCGACCUGAGAAGGUGAUCGGCCACACUGGGACUGAGACACGGCCCAG
rnacentral:rRNA from 1 species